CGAUGUGGGAAGGCCCAGACAGCCAGGAUGUUGGCUUAGAAGCAGCCAUCAUUUAAAGAAAGCGUAAUAGCUCACUGGUCGAGUCGGCCUGCGCGGAAGAUGUAACGGGGCUAAACCAUGCACCGAAGCUGCGGCAGCGAACGUAUCACUUAAAGCGAUUCAGCGGGUUACGAUUGACGGAGCGAAGCGACGUCAAAGCGUAUACAAAGUCGAGUCGGUUUAAGGAUACGUUCGUUGGGUAGGGGAGCGUUCUGUAAGCCUGCGAAGGUGGCCUGUGAGGGUUGCUGGAGGUAUCAGAAGUGCGAAUGCUGACAUAAGUAACGAUAAAGCGGGUGAAAAGCCCGCUCGCCGGAAGACCAAGGGUUCCUGUCCAACGUUAAUCGGGGCAGGGUGAGUCGACCCCUAAGGCGAGGCCGAAAGGCGUAGUCGAUGGGAAACGGGUUAAUAUUCCCGUACUUGGUGUUACUGCGAAGGGGGGACGGAGAAGGCUAUGUUGGCCGGGCGACGGUUGUCCCGGUUUAAGCGUGUAGGCUGGUUUUCCAGGCAAAUCCGGAAAAUCAAGGCUGAGGCGUGACGACGAGGCACUACGGUGCUGAAGCAACAAAUGCCCUGCUUCCAGGAAAAGCCUCUAAGCAUCAGGUAACACGAAAUCGUACCCCAAACCGACACAGGUGGUCAGGUAGAGAAUACCAAGGCGCUUGAGAGAACUCGGGUGAAGGAACUAGGCAAAAUGGUGCCGUAACUUCGGGAGAAGGCACGCUGACACGUAGGUGAAGUGAUUUACUCAUGGAGCUGAAGUCAGUCGAAGAUACCAGCUGGCUGCAACUGUUUAUUAAAAACACAGCACUGUGCAAACACGAAAGUGGACGUAUACGGUGUGACGCCUGCCCGGUGCCGGAAGGUUAAUUGAUGGGGUCAGCGCAAGCGAAGCUCCUGAUCGAAGCCCCGGUAAACGGCGGCCGUAACUAUAACGGUCCUAAGGUAGCGAAAUUCCUUGUCGGGUAAGUUCCGACCUGCACGAAUGGCGUAAUGAUGGCCAGGCUGUCUCCACCCGAGACUCAGUGAAAUUGAACUCGCUGUGAAGAUGCAGUGUACCCGCGGCAAGACGGAAAGACCCCGUGAACCUUUACUAUAGCUUGACACUGAACAUUGAGCCUUGAUGUGUAG
rnacentral:rRNA from 1 species